UACGUAGGGUGCGAGCGUUGUCCGGAAUUAUUGGGCGUAAAGAGCUUGUAGGCGGUUUGUCGCGUCUGCCGUGAAAAUCCGGGGCUCAACCCCGGACUUGCGGUGGGUACGGGCAGACUAGAGUGUGGUAGGGGAGACUGGAAUUCCUGGUGUAGCGGUGAAGUGCGCAGAUAUCAGGAGGAACACCGGUGGCGAAGGCGGAUCUCUGGGCCGAUACUGACGCUGAGGAGCGAAAGCGUGGGGAGCGAACAGG
rnacentral:rRNA from 1 species